AGGUUCGACUCGAGCGACGCGAGAGAACGUUGCGUCAGCAACGGCCCGCAGGGCGAGCCACGCAGUGGCGAGUCAUCCUCUAUCACCGACCA
rnacentral:sRNA from 1 species